GAAGAAGAUCAUCUUCAGAAAACAGCAAGUAUAAGUACCUGUGCAAGAGAGAACAGGAAACAUGACAGCACCAAAAGUCAGGAUGAUUAACCAUUGAAACAACAUGCUAAGGGCUGUGGUGGAUUCUCCUUUACCAGAAACCUUUACAAGGUCAAAGACUGAAAAGAUACUUCAGCAAACACUUGUGCAGAAGAUACGAAAUGGAAUCUUCAGGACCAUUCUUUGUCCUCGGAGAAUAACAUUCUGUGAUACUUGCAAACAAAGCCAAAACAUUUGAAAGACAGAUUAAA